AUUGAACGCUGGCGGCAGGCCUAACACAUGCAAGUCGAACGAGUGGCGGACGGGUGAGUAAUGUCUGGGAAACUGCCAGAUGGAGGGGGCUAACUACUGGAAACGGUAGCUAAUACCGCAUACCAUCGGAUGUGCCCAGAUGGGAUUAGCUAGUAGGUGGGGGAACGGCUCACCUAGGGGACGAUCCCUAGCGGGUCUGAGAGGACGACCAGCCACACUGGAACUGAGACACGGUCCAGACGCCUACGUGAGGCAGCAGUGGGGAAUAUUGAACAAUGGGCGCAAGCCUGAUGCAGCCAUGCCGCGUGUAUGAAGAAGGCCUUCGGGUUGUAAAGUACUUUCAGCGAGGAGGCGUUACUCGCAGAAGAAGCACCGGCUAACUCCGUGCCAGCAGCCGCGGUAAUUC
rnacentral:rRNA from 1 species